GUUUUGGCACGGGCUGCAUCAAAAGAUUUCCAGCAUCCGCAGUUUAUUUUUACUUUUAUCUUCGAGAUUGAGAACGGCUUGUCCAGCGGGAAGAGAGUCAGCCGCGACACUGCAGCCAUCCGGAAACUGACCGGUCCACGGUGGGGGAGGGGUCAGUUCAGUUUCGCCACGGAAGCAACUGAGGUUAAAGGGAUUUCCAUCUGGACGGUGUUUAAUGAUGACACCAGGGGCCAGUUGAUCUUCGAUUCGGUUCACCCAAAAAUUCAAAUCCACUCACCUUCUCAAUUGAAGAGGCAUUUUCCUAAAGCUACUACUGGAGAACGAAUAAAAGCACCAGGACAAAUUCUCAAUGCUUUUGAGGCUGAAUUACAUCCAAUUUACACCAUAAGGUCGUUUUUUGCCGCUGAUCCAUAUGAUUGGGGAGCAGGCGAUCACUGAUCAUAUCGUUGCUUGAUAUAUUCUUAAUAAAGUUCCCUUAUCUGCACCCCCCCCAUCAUAUCCAGCAAUACAUCUCAUUAAAUUCAUCACUUUUUUACACUUACUGACUAUUAACAUAAGAACAAGGAGUGAGGCCAUUCAGCCCCUCAAGCCUGCUCCGUCAUUUCAUAAGAUCUGAUAGUAACCUGAAAUCUGCAUCCCAUCUACUCCCCCGAGAACCUAUCACCCCCUCGCUUGUUUACCAAGAAGCUAUCCACCUCUGCCUUAAAAAUAUUCAAAGACUCUGCUUCCACCACCUUUUCAGGAAGAGAGUUCCAAAGACUCACGACCCUCUGAGAGAAAAUA